AGUGAACGCUGGCGGUAGGCCUAACACAUGCAAGUCGAACGGCAGCACAGUAAGAGCUUGCUCUUACGGGUGGCGAGUGGCGGACGGGUGAGGAAUACAUCGGAAUCUACUUUUUCGUGGGGGAUAACGUAGGGAAACUUACGCUAAUACCGCAUACGACCUACGGGUGAAAGCAGGGGAUCUUCGGACCUUGCGCGAUUGAAUGAGCCGAUGUCGGAUUAGCUAGUUGGCGGAGUAAAGGCCCACCAAGGCGACGAUCCGUAGCUGGUCUGAGAGGAUGAUCAGCCACACUGGAACUGAGACACGGUCCAGACUCCUACGGGAGGCAGCAGUGGGGAAUAUUGGACAAUGGGCGCAAGCCUGAUCCAGCCAUACCGCGUGGGUGAAGAAGGCCUUCGGGUUGUAAAGCCCCUUUGUUGGGAAAGAAAAGCAGCAGGUUAAUACCCCGCUGUUCUGACGGUACCCAAAGAAUAAGCACCGGCUAACUUCGUG
rnacentral:rRNA from 1 species